rnacentral:rRNA from 1 species
GGAACAAUUGGAGGGCAAGUCUGGUGCCAGCAGCCGCGGUAAUUCCAGCUCCAAUAGCGUAUAUUAAAGUUGUUGCAGUUAAAAAGCUCGUAGUUGAACCUUGGCCCUGGCUGGCCGGUCCGCCUCACCGCGAGUACUGGUCCGGCUGGGGCUUUCCUUCUGGGGAACCUCAUGGCCUUCACUGGCUGUGGGGGGAACCAGGACUUUUACUGUGAAAAAAUUAGAGUGUUCAAAGCAGGCCUUUGCUCGAAUACAUUAGCAUGGAAUAAUAGAAUAGGACGUGCGGUUCUAUUUUGUUGGUUUCUAGGACCGCCGUAAUGAUUAAUAGGGAUAGUCGGGGGCGUCAGUAUUCAGCUGUCAGAGGUGAAAUUCUUGGAUUUGCUGAAGACUAACUACUGCGAAAGCAUUCGCCAAGGAUGUUUUCAUUAAUCAGGGAACGAAAGUUAGGGGAUCGAAGACGAUCAGAUACCGUCGUAGUCUUAACCAUAAACUAUGCCGACUAGGGAUCGGACGGGAUUCUAUGAUGACCCGUUCGGCACCUUACGA